UACGUAGGGUGCGAGCGUUGUCCGGAAUUAUUGGGCGUAAAGAGCUUGUAGGCGGUUUGUCGCGUCUGCUGUGAAAAUCCGGGGCUCAACCCCGGACUUGCAGUGGGUACGGGCAGACUAGAGUGUGGUAGGGGAGACUGGAAUUCCUGGUGUAGCGGUGAAAUGCGCAGAUAUCAGGAGGAACACCGAUAGCGAAGGCAGGUCUCUGGGCCACUACUGACGCUGAGAAGCGAAAGCAUGGGGAGCGAACAGG
rnacentral:rRNA from 1 species